GUGGGUUAUAUUUUUCAACAUUCCCAUUAAGUACGAAUAUCGGGUGUAUCAAGUAACGAAUGAAAUUUUUUUCUGUAACAUACAUAUUUCUCAAUUUUAUCAAUUCUUGUUCAGCCUCAAAUAUUGAAAGUAUCGAUAUUACGAAAGCCAUCACUGGUUGCAUCAAUAGUACCCAAUUGAAUUUCAAACAGUGGUGCUAUAUAUAGCGCUUAUAUCGUGCAUAAUCCUAAUAUUUUUUAUGGUUUUUUCCUACAAACAAUAUAAAAAUAGUGCGCAUGUUGAAGUAGAUUUGAAAACAAAAAUUUCCAGAUAUUUCGCAACAAAUUUGGACCAUGCUUUCAGAAAAGCCACUGCGCUGAACAUUUACCCUCAGACAUUUCAACACAAUACAUAUUUUUUCUGUAUGCACUAACACCAACGCACUUGUUCGGGCUUUUUUUUAACCUAGAUACGAUGAAAAAAAGUUAUCUCAUUUCUUGAUCUUAUAGAAUGAGUGCGAAUAAGAAAACAUAAUCAUCAUUAAGGCAAAAAGAAAAUCCCAAAAAGGGUAAUAAAAAAACGAUUAAAAAACGCAAGUCAUUCGCGCUAAUUAAAAAAGCAUUGGAAAUAUCAGCAGUUUCAACAAUUAUAGCAGGAGCAGCAAAUAUAAAUUGUUGGAUAAGUUUUAUCACAUGAUAUUAUGAGAUAAUAGGUGUUUACUUCAUGUUUUUAAUCGGCUUGUGCAGUGAAAUAUAAUGUGUGAAAACAAAUGUGUAUUUUCUAUGUUUAAAGUGGCCUGCGUAGUGGAAAAAUUACGCGAAUACAAAUGUUUGUUUUAUUUUCAUAUUAUAUACAACAAACGAAAAUCGACUUAAAUAACUUGUUAUACGUUAAUGAUUUCAUAGUGAUUUCUAUUUGUUUUUUAGAUAAUAAUCGAUAAAGGACUAGGGUGGCAUAUUUUGAUACAGUAAUUAAUCUUUUUCAGAAAAUAUUAUUAUUUAUUACUAUCGAUUUCUUAAUAAUAAUUAUUAGUACUAUUAUAAUUAGUAUUAAUUCAUUAGAAAUUGUAUAUUAAUAAAGAGGAAAUAAAGAAAUGUUAAUAAAAAAUAUUUGCUUAACCCUUGCGUUGCCACCCAAAAAAAUCACACUGUCUGCCGCCCAGGGUACCCGGGUACCCGUACGCAAAUUGGUGCGUAUAAGUGCGUUAUACGUAAAAAUAAUUGAGUGCAUUCUAUCAGGAUCUAUUUACUGACAUCUUAGAAAGGUAUUUCUGCUUGAAAGUACCAUAUAAAUUAUGUACAGACACCUACAUAGUCCUAAAUCAGCAAUAAAACGCGCGCUGCUCUAAUGUAAAUUUCUGGAUUCUGCGAAGGCCAGUUCCGUGGAAUUCGAGUUGUGGGGAAACAGGUCGUUCUUUGAAUUGGUUUGUACUUCAGGAACGUUCGAGAAUGCUGUGAAACGAAUAUAAGCUGUAUAGUUCAGUUUCUGUUAUUGACUCGAAGAAGCCAGACGUAUCGCUGUUUGGAUAGUUCUUUAGCGUGUAAUUGUAUUUUAUUUAUAUAAGUCAGAUAAAUAAAAGGAUGGAGGAGUUAUCGAAAUCGCAGUUUUUGAGAUUGAGCGAGGCUCAAAAAGAGGAGUAUAUCAGAAAAUUGGAUGAGGACGUUGACGCCGCGAUCGACAGUGAAGAUCCGUCAGACAGCGAAGACGACGAUUGGUUUCCGGACGGUAUUUAAGCGUCAGAUACUGAAGAUUACGAACAGGAUGGAGCAGCUGAAAUUGAAGAGGAUACAAGUGAUCGUGAAGCUCCAGAGGGUGAAGAAGAAGAGGAUGAUGACGACGAUGAGGAAGAGGGCGACGACAAUGAAGUAGCUGUAUCGACUUCUAAUAGUCGGUCAGACAGUUCAAGUGUUCCACCCAAUACAAGUACAACAUUUAUAGCAAAAGAUGGAAUAAAACCGCACGCCCAAAUCAUCAGAUUCCUGCUAGAAAUAUUGUGAGGCAAAGAGCUGGACCUCAUAGGAGUACGGAAAUGUUGUCAAUCGCUCAAACAUUAAAAAAAAUUAUCACGUUGGAAAUGGUCGAUAUUAUUGUUCGCUGCACGAAUAAAAAAGCAGAAGCCGUGUAUUGAGUUUACAACAAACAACAUCCAGAAAAUGAACCUCGUGUAUGGAAAAAAGUAACAGUGACAAAGAUGUAUUCCUUUUUUGGAGUAUUGAUAUCUGCUGGUGCAAAUAACUCAAACACAGAUCAUGUAAAUAAAAUGUGGAAGAAAAAUGCUUAUCCGUUAUAUCGUGCAACAAUGGGACGAAUACGCUUUCAGUCGCUUUUACGGUUCAUACGUUUCGAUGAUUAUACAACACGCCCGGCUCGAGUAGCCAAUGAUAAAGCUGCUCUUAUUUCAGAUAUAUGGAAGAUGCUGAAUGCCAACUUAGCUGCAUUGUAUCGACCAACGGAACACUUGACCAUCGACGAACAGCUCUACCCUUUCAGAGGAAGAACUAAGUUUACUCAGUAUAUGCCAUCCAAGCCUGCUAAAUACGGUCUGCAAGUAUUUUGGUUGUGCGAUGCAAGUAAUGCUUAUCCACUGAAAGGGAUUUUGUAUACAGGUAAACAAGGUAAUACUCGAGAAGUCAAUCAAGCUGAAUGAGUUGUCAAAGACCUGGUCAGCGAUUAUAAAGGAUCUUGCCGAAAUAUAACCACGGACAGAUUUUUCACAACUUUACCUUUGGCGGAGACUCUGUUAUCUUGGAAACUUACUAUCGUCGGUACAUUGAAAAAAAAAUAAGACGUUUAUACCUCAAGAAAUGAAACCGUCAAGGUCUAGAGAAGUACUGUCAACUCUUUUCGGAUUUCAUGAAAAAGCUACUAUCUGCUCAUACGUUCCAAAGAAAAACAAAGCUGUAAUACUUCUUAGUGCGAUGCACUACGGUUAUGAAAUUUCUGAUGCAGCUCACAAAAAACAAGAAAUGAUUUUGUUUUAUAAUCAAACAAAAGCUGGAGUUGACACCAUGGAUCAAAUGUGUUCGAGGUAUUCCACCCAACGGCGAACGUGUAGAUGGCCGCUGGCUUUCUUUUUCAAUAUCCAGCAAAUAACAGCAUGCUUCAUAAGAAAACGAACAGACGGAGACUUUUUCUUCGACAAUUGUCAGAAGAGUUAGCAAUGUGCGAUAAGCCCGUAUGCGAACAGCAUUCGGUAAACAUUUCUAAAUGUUUACAUUGCAAUAAUUAAAUUUUAAUUUUUCUUAAUUUUUUAAUUAAUUCUUAAAAUAGUAAUAAUAAUAUUAUUUUGCGACAUGAAGUUAAAAAAAUGAAUGAAAUGAAAAAAAAAAAAAUGAAACGAAUUUUUAGCUUUUUAC